GACGAACCGUGCGAACGUUAUUCGGAAUCACUGGGCUUAAAGCGCGUGUAGGCGGGAGGGCACGUCCGUCGCUGAAAUCCCCCGGCUCAACCGGGGAACGGGCACGGAUACGACCUUCCUGGAGGGGCGUAGGGGGACCUGGAACUUCCGGUGGAGCGGUGAAAUGCGUUGAGAUCGGAAGGAACGCCCGUGGCGAAAGCGAGGUCCUGGACGCCUACUGACGCUGAGGCGCGAAAGCCAGGGGAGCAAACGGG
rnacentral:rRNA from 1 species